CAGCGGUUAAACAAAAAAGAUUUUUUUUUAUUCUAUUAAUGUAAAAUUAAUCUUUAGGGAAAAAAUUAAUAAUUAAAAAAGGUGAAAUUUUUUAGUUAGUUUAAUAAAACAUUUAAAUAAAAACUCCAUUUUUAAAAACUAGGAUUAGAUACCCUAUUAUUAGGAAUAAUUCAUUGUUAGUAAAUAUUAAAUACGAAAACAAAAAAUUAUGGCGGUAUCUUAAGCUUUUCAGAGGAAUUUGCUCUUUUAUGGAUAAAACACCUAAAUCUUACUAAAAUUAGCAAGUUCAGUUUGUAUACCACUAUAAAAGUAAUAAUUAGUUAUUAUUACUUAAACUUUUAAUUUAAAAAGAAAAUUAAGUCAAGGUGCAGCAAAAAUUUUAGGAUGAAGUGAAUUACAAUGCUUUUUAGAAAAAAAAAUUGAAAUUUAAUUUUAGGAUUUGAAAGUAAAAAUUUAAUAAAAUGAUUUUUUGAAUUAAGUUCUGAGAUAUGUA
rnacentral:rRNA from 1 species